rnacentral:rRNA from 1 species
UCCGUAGUGACCUGCGGAAGAUCAUA